GUGGAUUAGAUACCCUGGUAGUCCACGCCGUAAACUAUGGGUACUAGGUGUAGGGGGUAUCGACUCCCCCUGUGCCGCCGUUAACACAAUAAGUACCCCGCCUGGGGAGUACGGUCGCAAGACUAAAACUCAAAGGAAUUGACGGGGGCCCGCACAAGCAGCGGAGCAUGUGGUUUAAUUCGAAGCAACGCGAAGAACCUUACCUAGACUUGACAUCUCCUGAAUUACCCGUAACUGGGGAAGCUCUUCGGAGCAGGAAGACAGGUGGUGCAUGGUCGUCGCCAGCU
rnacentral:rRNA from 1 species